UAAAGCAGUUUGGAAUUAAGUCUGCUUUAGUUGUUAAAAUAACAGUAAUACAGUGGUACCUCAGGUUACAUGCGCUUCAGGUUACAGACUCUGCUAACCCAGAAAUAGUACCUUGGGUUAAGAAUUUUGCUUCAGGAUGAGAACAGAAAUCGUGCUCCGGCGGCAUGGCAGCAGCAGGAGGCCCCAUUAGCUAAAGUGGUGCUUCAGGUUAAGAACGGACCUCCAGAAUGAAUUAAGUUCUUAACCCGAGGUACGACUGCACUGGGAAAACCAUAGCUUUAAUUAUACGGACCUUUGUGGGCAAGGUGCUUACUCAGAAGUAAACCCUCAGCGUGCAAAAGGAAGCAAGGCUGACUUCUGUGUGGCUGUGCUCGGGACGGCAGCCUCCAUUUCUCUCCAACGGUAAAUGAAAAGACUCUGGCCUGGGGGGUGGCGGGGAGAAGCGCGGUGGUUUACGCAGGGAAGUCGUCGCUUGAUGUCGCCACCGCUUUAACAGGGAGGAGCUGGAGUUCUUGCCUCCUGUUCAAAAGGACCAAACGCUGCCAUCAAAUGGCUUAAAUGAUUUCAUUUUUGGAAACUGGACUGGUAUCACAAAGCCGACACCAAAUAAAGAUAUCUGAUAUCCCUUUUUUUUAAAAAAAGAAAAA